CUGAAGAAAGAUAAGAACCAAGAUAAGAUUAAAAUCAGAAAACCAGCAGACAGAUGGCAAUCAUAGCACAAGAAACACUGAACUUACUUGGCCCAUAAGAGCAUUUUGCCAAACGCGAAACAACAUAAGUGACAUCCUUCCAGCGUAGACAAAUCUGUUCAUCAGAAUAAUUGCAGUAAGUGGCAUAUGGAGAAACAGCAUGAAGGGGUUCAAGGGUCUAUCAACAACAAUUUCACUUACCAAUGUUUCCCAGCGGAAAAUAUUAGCAUAAAAACAUAGAAAGUUUUGUGAAACAUACAAACGUCCAUGAAUGAGGAUUUCUUUGGCAACAGCACAGGAAUAAUCUAAGGGGAGGAUGGAGGAGAGAGAGAGAACAUAAAUUGGAGAAAGAAAGCUUCGGUUUAAAAUAGACAAUACUGUGUUACGAACUAAAUGUCUUACCAACAAUAAGUCUUUCUUCUGGAGGAACAUCUUUAAAAAUUCUGUUGAAAUCUUUACUUCUGGAUUUAUACGUUGGGUAAAGAAUAUUGUACCAAGAUGA